ACUACGCAGUCCCUACAAUCACGCAGAGGGCAGAAAAAAAAGGAAAGUGAUCGCAAGCAGAUCCCCUCGCUCGCUAACUGCAAGGCCGCGACCCAUGCCGCUGCCUGAUCCUCCUCCGCCACCGAAGCCGCCGCAGAAGCGACGAAUGCGCCGGCAGCACCUCCCACCCCCUCUUAUCAUCUUCCCUAUCCCUACCCAGAACGAGACCUCGCAAGCCGACGGAUUAGAGGAGAGGAAAAUUUGGUAUGUUGUCGCAGACCCGAUGCAUUGCGCCUCCAUUACAAAUCCUAAAUACUUUUGAUCUAGAGCUGCUACCUACUGGACUUGCUCGGCGUCACGGACGACGAGGACGUCUACAUCUCCCUCCUCAGGGACUCCGCUGACACUGUCGAGGUCGCCGCCGUGCACACCCACAUCGUCGCCACAGGUGUUGCGCCUGGUCUCCCCCCACCGCUAGCCUACCCGCCGCUGCUCGCCUACGCGAGGUGUUCGACGGAAAAUUCCCCUCAAGGACGGCAUCACGUGGGCGACCAUGGUGUCUGCAUCCCGCCAGUUCGCGCCCUCGAUAUGCCUGGAUGUUGGUCUGAACCUUCUGGCCGGCUACAUAAGCAAGCACUCAGGCAGCUGGAUGGAUUCCCGGCGCACAGCUUGCCGUGAACCUUAAAUUGCUGCUCCAACAGGCAGCAAACCAAUCAUUUGAUAUUUGAGGGACAGCAGCCAGUAGGCGCUUUGAGGAAGCAUUGGUGCUGACAAAUAAAAGAAUGCUUUAGGUAUACCUAUUUACACUUUUCAAUUGGUUUGAUGCCAUCCGUAUGUGAUUCACUAACCAAGAAUGGAAAUAUUCCUUGCUAUUAGAAAUUUCUAUGGUGGUGCUUCUUUAGGUUCUGCCUGAAGAAUGUUCCAGUGCCAAUAAUCGGUUAUACUUUGUAAUGGUGAUUCCUAAUUUGGUCUAAUUUCUAACUGUUAGCUACAGUUUACUUCAGUGGUAAUGCAGGUAUGCGAAGGAAGAAUUACUGGCUAUGGAUGAUUACUAUGAGCGUAUGAAAUUAUGAGUUCUGUAGGUUUCUUGAGCAAGAUGGGUUGUUCUAGCUUGUGAUGGUUAGAUUUUUUACGCAAUAGCAGUACUAGAUUAGUUGUUCUAGCUUCUUUAGGUUGUAACCAAUUGAAGGUAAUUUGAAGAUCGAUCCCACAGCUGAGUAUAUUCCGUUUUUUAUUAACCCGCAACAGAGUGUGUAUAGGAAAGUAUACUUUUGUGAAUUGUUAGUGCUCGCUUUUCUUACUGUACUUAGGCUGUUCAUGUUCAAAUUCUUCAGCGUUUUGUACACAUGAAAGGUACUUCUGUAAAUCAGUUUUUCAAAUUGGCAUCGAUAAGAUGCAUAUAGAUGCAUGUAUCCUUCUAAAAAAUUAACACCAAUGUUUCAUUUGUUUUGUGAGAUCAUUCCUUUUUCUUUUGGACAACUUUUGGAGAUUUUUAAGAUAGCUUUUUCUGUGGGCAAGCUGGACCUGAUACUGAAAGGACCUUAAGUUCUAACCAAAGAUGACAAUGUGGAUGGUCACAUUUCAAAGUGUUUUUUUUUCUCAGACACGUGUAAGUUUUGUCUCACAGUGUAGUAAAAAGAAUGGUUAAAAGGUGAGAAUCAGUAUAAAGUGGGGAGGGAGGAUCAUGCUUUCAAAGUUGGUCAGGUUUCACAAUAAUACUUGUGCAUGUGUUUGUGUGUCAUCAUCUUUAUAAUGCGUGUGAUGGAUGUUGUAGGUUCAUUGGUGACAACGAAGAGCAUGAAAAAUGGCAUCGUCUUGCUUCGUUUAUUCGCCUAAGCUAAAGUGCUUAAUCUUGAGAAGAUGAGAGAUAAUUGAUAGAGUACUCCUGACAAGUGCAUUUGUCAAAUUCUAGCCAACAGAUUGAAAGCAUGUCUGCCUAUUUGUGAGUUUCAGUUCCAUUCAAUCUUCCUUUUCUUUUUGGAUCCAAAGUAGAGGAGAUCAUGUGACUGGUUGUUGAUUUGCCUAAACACUAUUUCCUCUACAAGAGUGUAAAUGUUGUCGAUGCUUGUUUCCAACAUGCAAGGACAUGAGCACACACAUUUUGUGUAUCUAUCUAAAUCUCAUAUGCUA